rnacentral:piRNA from 4 species
AAGUGUAGUAUCUGUUCUUAUCAGU